UACGUAGGGUGCGAGCGUUAAUCGGAAUUACUGGGCGUAAAGCGUGCGCAGGCGGUUUUGUAAGCCAGAUGUGAAAUCCCCGGGCUCAACCUGGGAAUGGCAUUUGGGACUGCAAGGCUGGAGUUUGGCAGAGGAGACUGGAAUUCCCGGUGUAGCAGUGAAAUGCGUAGAUAUCAGGAGGAACACCGGUGGCGAAGGCGGUUCUCUGGGCCUGUACUGACGCUGAGGAACGAAGGCGUGGGGAGCGAACAGG
rnacentral:rRNA from 1 species